rnacentral:rRNA from 1 species
UCCGUAGGCGGGCGUCUAAGUCAGUAGUGAAAUCUUACAGCUCAACUGUAAAAUUGCCAUUGAUACUGGAUGUCUUGAAUUAGUGUGAAGUGGUUAGAAUGUGUAGUGUAGCGGUGAAAUGCAUAGAUAUUACACAGAAUACCAAUUGCGAAGGCAGAUCACUAACACUAUAUUGACGCUGAGGGACGAAAGCGUGGGGAGCGAACAGGAUUAGAUACCCUGGUAGUCC